GAUAUUCCUUAAAGAAGGAGUCUGUGUGCUAUACUGAAAGAAAAAUGUAGCUUCUAUACAGACCAUUCAGGAGUAAUUAAAGACUCCAUAAAUAAACUUAGAAAAAGGUUAGACAAAAGACAGACAGAAAAACACAUCAGAGAUGGUUCGAGAGCUAGUUUAGUAGAUCUCCCUGGAUGACUACCCUACUCUCUGCUACAGCUGGGCCAUUAUUAAUAAUUUUCUUGGUUUUAGUUUUUGGCCCCUGCGUGACAAACAGGUUAAUUGCUUUUGUUAAAAAUCGAGUGGGUGCUGUGCGGUUGAUGGUUCUGAGACAACAGUACCAGUCAGUUAGGACAACUGGUGAGACCAAAUACGAGACUUGAUAUCAAAAUUCUAAGAUUAGAAUUAUUUAGUAGGAGAAGACGGGAAUGAAAAGAGAAUUAUACGAAUUCUAGGUUUAGAAAUAUAAAAAUUAAAAGAAUAAACCCCAAAAGGCCACAGACCCAGGGCUAAGCCCUACAGCCAGGACUAGCAGGCCAUAAAGAUAAAGGAGCACAGGAAACACUGUUCAGACAGGACUGACAAGCCAUAAAGAAAAGGAAUGCAGGAACCAGCCUGAGUUAAUGGGACUGAUUCAUGGGACGUCUGACAGAAAGACAUCUCCCCCCAGCUCACUCAGAGCCAUCCUCCAGACCCUGAUAAGCCCCUGACUUCUAACACGUACUCUUUCUGCUUUGUUCUCACUGCUAUGUUUGAAUGAGCCAAUUGUAUGUAACCACGCCAAAACCCCCUAGCCUUCUCUAUAUAACCCUCUGACUUUUGAGUUUCGGGGUCGACACCUCUGUCUCCUGCGUGGGAUAUGUGUCGGCCCGGAGAUCUCUGUAAUAGGUCUCCGUAAUAAACCUCGCCUUUGCUUAUUACAUCC
rnacentral:lncRNA from 1 species